CCUACGGGAGGCAGCAGUGGGGGAUAUUGCACAAUGGGGGAAACCCUGAUGCAGCGACGCCGCGUGGGUGAAGAAGCGCCUCGGCGCGUAAAGCCCUGUCAGCAGGGAAGAAAAUGACGGUACCUGAAGAAGAAGCCCCGGCUAACUACGUGCCAGCAGCCGCGGUAAUACGCAGGUGGCAAGCGUUAUCCGGAUUUACUGGGUGUAAAGGGGGCGCAGACGGCGAUGCAAGCCAGGAGUGAAAGUCCGGGGCCCAACCCCGGGACUGCUCUUGGAACUGCGUGGCUAGAGUGCAGGAGGGGCAGGCGGAAUUCCUGGUGUAGCGGUGAAAUGCGUAGAUAUCAGGAGGAACACCGGUGGCGAAGGCGGCCUGCUGGACUGCAACUGACGUUGAGGCCCGAAAGCGUGGGGAGCAAACAGGAUUAGAUACCCGGGUAGUC
rnacentral:rRNA from 1 species